rnacentral:rRNA from 1 species
GAUGAGCGCUGGCGGCGUGCCUAAUACAUGCAAGUCGAGCGAACGGACGAGAAGCUUGCUUCUCUGAUGUUAGCGGCGGACGGGUGAGUCACACGUGGAUAACCCACCUAUAAGACUGGGAUAAUUUCGGGAAACCGGAGCUAAUACCGGAUAAUAUUUUGAACCGCAUGGUUCAAAAGUGAAAGACGGUCUUGCUGUCACUUAUAGAUGGAUCCGCGCUGCAUUAGCUAGUUGGUAAGGUAACGGCUUACCAAGGCAACGAUGCAUAGCCGACCUGAGAGGGUGAUCGGCCACACUGGAACUGAGACACGGUCCAGACUCCUACGGGAGGCAGCAGUAGGGAAUCUUCCGCAAUGGGCGAAAGCCUGACGGAGCAACGCCGCGUGAGUGAUGAAGGUCUUCGGAUCGUAAAACUCUGUUAUUAGGGAAGAACAUAUGUGUAAGUAACUGUGCACAUCUUGACGGUACCUAAUCAGAAAGCCACGGCUAACUACGUG